GAUGAACGCUGGCGGCGUGCCUAAUACAUGCAAGUCGAGCGAACAGACGAGGAGCUUGCUCCUCUGACGUUAGCGGCGGACGGGUGAGUAACACGUGGAUAACCUACCUAUAAGACUGGGAUAACUUCGGGAAACCGGAGCUAAUACCGGAUAAUAUAUUGAACCGCAUGGUUCAAUAGUGAAAGACGGUUUUGCUGUCACUUAUAGAUGGAUCCGCGCCGCAUUAGCUAGUUGGUAAGGUAACGGCUUACCAAGGCAACGAUGCGUAGCCGACCUGAGAGGGUGAUCGGCCACACUGGAACUGAGACACGGUCCAGACUCCUACGGGAGGCAGCAGUAGGGAAUCUUCCGCAAUGGGCGAAAGCCUGCCGGAGCAACGCCGCGUGAGUGAUGAAGGUCUUCGGAUCGUAAAACUCUGUUAUUAGGGAAGAACAAAUGUGUAAGUAACUAUGCACGUCUUGACGGUACCUAAUCAGAAAGCCACGGCUAACUACGU
rnacentral:rRNA from 1 species